CCAAACUGUUGCCUCGGCGGGAUCUCUGCCCCGGGUGCGUCGCAGCCCCGGACCAAGGCGCCCGCCGGAGGACCAACCAAAACUCUUAUUGUAUACCCCCUCGCGGGUUUUUUUUAUAAUCUGAGCCUUCUCGGCGCCUCUCGUAGGCGUUUCGAAAAUGAAUCAAAACUUUCAACAACGGAUCUCUUGGUUCUGGCAUCGAUGAAGAACGCAGCGAAAUGCGAUAAGUAAUGUGAAUUGCAGAAUUCAGUGAAUCAUCGAAUCUUUGAACGCACAUUGCGCCCGCCAGUAUUCUGGCGGGCAUGCCUGUCCGAGCGUCAUUUCAACCCUCGAACCCCUCCGGGGGGUCGGCGUUGGGGAUCGGCCCUGCCUUGGCGGUGGCCGUCUCCGAAAUACAGUGGCGGUCUCGCCGCAGCCUCUCCUGCGCAGUAGUUUGCACACUCGCAUCGGGAGCGCGGCGCGUCCACAGCCGUUAAACACCCAACUUCUGAAAUGUUGACCUCGGAUCAGGUAGGAAUACCCGCUGAACUUAAGCAUAUCAAUAGGCGGAGGAA
rnacentral:rRNA from 1 species